UACGAAGGGGGCUAGCGUUGUUCGGAAUUACUGGGCGUAAAGCGCGCGCAGGCGGUCUUCCAAGUCAGUGGUGAAAGCCUGGAGCUCAACUCCAGAACUGCCAUUGAAACUGUUAGACUUGAGUACGAGAGAGGUGAGUGGAAUUCCCAGUGUAGAGGUGAAAUUCGUAGAUAUUGGGAAGAACACCGGUGGCGAAGGCGGCUCACUGGCUCGUAACUGACGCUCAGGCGCGACAGCGUGGGGUCAAACAGG
rnacentral:rRNA from 1 species